rnacentral:misc_RNA from 1 species
UCCGGUUCAUCACCAGCAGUCUCCUUAGAGUCCCCACCAUGACGUGAUGGCAACUAAGGAUAAGGGUUGCGCUCGUUACGGGACUUAACCCAACAUCUCACAACACGAGCUGACGACAGCCAUGCAGCACCUGUCUCUAGGUUCCUUUCGGCACUCCCGCAUCUCUGCAGGAUUCCUAGGAUGUCAAGGGUAGGUAAGGUUCUUCGCGUUGCAUCGAAUUAAACCACAUGCUCCACCGCUUGUGCGGGCCCCCGUCAAUUUCUUUGAGUUUUAAUCUUGCGACCGUACUCCCCAGGCGGAAGACUUAUCGCGUUAGCUGCGAUACCGAUAGGACAAGCCCACCGACAUCUAGUCUUCAUCGUUUACAGCGUGGACUAC